rnacentral:rRNA from 1 species
CGCAAUGGGCGAAAGCCUGACGGAGCAAUACCGCGUGAGGGAUGAAAGCCUGUGGGUUGUAAACCUCUUUUCUCAAGGAAGAAGUUUUGACGGUACUUGAGGAAUAAGCAUCGGCUAACUCUGUGCCAGCAGCCGCGGUAAUACAGAGGAUGCAAGCGUUAUCCGGAAUCACUGGGCAUAAAGCGUCUGUAGGUUGCCUACCAAGUUUGCUGUUAAAGAUCAGGGCCUAACCCUGGGAAAGCAGUGGAAACUAGUAGGCUUGAGUGUGGUAGAGGUAGAGGGAAUUCCUGGUGUAGCGGUGAAAUGCGUAGAUAUUAGGAAGAACACCAAUGGCGAAAGCCCUCUCCCGCGCCCUAACUGACCUCUGGAGACGACAUCUA